AAUGCAAGGACUGUUCUAACUAAAAUUCUAUUUUAUCGCCAGAAAAGGCAAAAUAAAAAAGAUUGUUUUGAUAAUGAGUUUAAAUCAGGAACCGUUACAGACCAUUUAAAAGCCGAUAUAAAGAAUUCUAUACAAUCAAAUCAAAUACUCAUACCGGAAAUUCAGACCCACGACGUCUUAAUAAUAUAGUGGAGAAAAUUAUAACACUUAAUAUUAGGAGAAUUUCCCGUUGUGAUGCAGAUGAAUAAAGCUAUCACCUUUUAUAACAACAACUAUCACUGUACAAUUGGGUGUACGUACACUCUUUGUAGCUCAGAACCAAGUAUACAAUCGUCUUACAAACAUAAAACAAAAAUAUAUACAUAAAGCAAAUAAGAAGAUGGAAACAUAUAGUGAACAAAGAAAAGAAGGCUUCAUAAAAAUAUAACAGAAAUGUACUAGUGGUUAUCCCAAUGACGAUUCCCCUAACAUCAUCAUCUCUUACAAUACUACCACUACAAGCGACAAACGGAUAUUACAGGAUAACGAUCGAACCUGUCAAAAUAGUCACGAAAACAAUCUUAUUCUACAUACAAUAAAAGGGGUUUUCAACAGGUAAACUACAAAACUAGACCGAUAGGGUCAGGAAACGACGCCAUAUUUUUCUUCCCCUUUGGCAUAUCUUUUCAGUAAGAUUUGCCAUUUCUUGAUGGAAAGAUAUACGAGCCAUCAACGAGUAGAAAUUAUUAUAAUUUUCUACCGAAAUUGUCAGUGGUCUCAACGUUAAAUGUCAUCUCAAGCGAUGAGGCUCAAGCUUGAAAACCAUCGAUGAUUGCGUUCAGCGUCUGGACUUCUGCAAGCGAGACCGCAGUGGCCUUGCAAAAGAAAUCGAGUACCAUACAUAAUGGCAUCGAACGUAGUUUCACAGAAAUAAAGAAUUUCAUUG